UCAUUACUGAGUUUACGCUCUACAACCCUUUGUGAACAUACCUAUAACUGUUGCUUCGGCGGGUAGGGUCUCCGUGACCCUCCCGGCCUCCCGCCCCCGGGCGGGUCGGCGCCCGCCGGAGGAUAACCAAACUCUGAUUUAACGACGUUUCUUCUGAGUGGUACAAGCAAAUAAUCAAAACUUUUAACAACGGAUCUCUUGGUUCUGGCAUCGAUGAAGAACGCAGCGAAAUGCGAUAAGUAAUGUGAAUUGCAGAAUUCAGUGAAUCAUCGAAUCUUUGAACGCACAUUGCGCCCGCCAGCAUUCUGGCGGGCAUGCCUGUUCGAGCGUCAUUUCAACCCUCAAGCUCUGCUUGGUGUUGGGGCCCUACAGCUGAUGUAGGCCCUCAAAGGUAGUGGCGGACCCUCCCGGAGCCUCCUUUGCGUAGUAACUUUACGUCUCGCACUGGGAUCCGGAGGGACUCUUGCCGUAAAACCCCCAAUUUUCCAAAGGUUGACCUCGGAUCAGGUAGGAAUACCCGCUGAACUUAAGCAUAUCAAUAAGCGGAGGAAAAGAAACCAACAGGGAUUGCCUCAGUAACGGCGAGUGAAGCGGCAACAGCUCAAAUUUGAAAUCUGGCCCUAGGCCCGAGUUGUAAUUUGCAGAGGAUGCUUUUGGUGCGGUGCCUUCCAAGUUCCCUAGAACGGGACGCCAGAGAGGGUGAGAGCCCCGUACAGUUGGACACCAAGCCUUUGUAAAGCUCCUUCGACGAGUCGAGUAGUUUGGGAAUGCUGCUCAAAAUGGGAGGUAUAUUUCUUCUAAAGCUAAAUACCGGCCAGAGACCGAUAGCGCACAAGUAGAGUGAUCGAAAGAUGAAAAGCACUUUGAAAAGAGGGUUAAACAGCACGUGAAAUUGUUAAAAGGGAAGCGCUUGUGACCAGACUUGCGUCCGGUGAAUCACCCAGCUCUCGCGGCUGGGGCACUUCGCCGGCUCAGGCCAGCAUCAGCUCGCUGUCGGGGACAAAAGCUUCAGGAACGUAGCUCUCUUCGGGGAGUGUUAUAGCCUGUUGCAUAAUACCCUUCGGCGGGCGAGGUACGC
rnacentral:misc_RNA from 1 species